GAUGAACGCUGGCGGCGUGCUUAACACAUGCAAGUCGAACGAGAAGUGAAGACGGAAACCUUCGGGCGGAAGGCUUUAUUUCGAGUGGCGGACGGGUGAGUAACGCGUGGGUAACCUGCCUCAUACAGGGGGAUAACAGUUGGAAACGACUGUUAAUACCGCAUAAGACCACAGCACCGCAUGGUGCGGGGGUAAAAACUCCGGUGGUAUGAGAUGGACCCGCGUUCGAUUAGCCAGUUGGCGGGGUAACGGCCCACCAAAGCGACGAUCGAUAGCCGAUCUGAGAGGAUGACCGGCCACAUUGGGGCUGGGACACGGACCAAACUCCUACGGGAGGCAGCAGUGGGGAAUAUUGCACAAUGGGGGAAACCCUGAUGCAGCGACGCCGCGUGAGUGAAGAAGUAUUUCGGUAUGUAAAGCUCUAUCAGCAGGGAAGAAAAUGACGGUACCUGAGUAAGAAGCCCCGGCUAACUACGUG
rnacentral:rRNA from 1 species